AAUAUGUCUUCAUCAGGAAACAUUUUAGAAUGGGCUGUUUAAAAUCUUCUGCUCAACAAGAAGCUGUUCAAGAGAAGAAACUGUGUCUCUUUUCAUCUUUACACUCCCAGUGCCUGAUACAUUAGACUCAGCAAAGUAUUAUUUGGGAGAACUUAGAUGAAAUCCCUAGCCCAUUCCUUAAUCUUGACUUUGUGGGUCAGCUUUGCCAAAUUUUCAGCCAGUCAAGAAUCACUCUUGAAAAUAGUGUUUCUUAAGCUCCUGUAUAACUGUGAUGGUUAAUUUUACAUGUCAACUAGACUGUGCAACAGGGUGCCCAGAUUAAGCAUUAUUUUCUAGGUAUGUUUGUGAGAGUGUCUCUGGCUAAGAUUAGCAUAUGAAUUGGGAGACUCAGUAAAAUAGAUUGUCCUCCCUGGUGUGGCUAUUUAUCCAAUCCAUUGAAGGCCUGAAUAGAACAAAAAGGGCAAAGAAAAAGGAAUUCACCCCUUUUGCUUCCUGUCUGCCUGUUUAAGCUAGGUCAUUGGUCUUCUCCUGCCCAUGGACUGGGAUGUGAUAGGUCCCUCCCAGUUCUCAGGUCUUCUGGCUCAGACUGGAAUUAUACCACUGACUACACUGACUAUCCUGCAGUUUACAGAUGGCAGAUUAUGGGACUUCUCAGCCUCAGGGAGUACAGUCUGUUGACUUUGGAUCAAAUUGAAUUGAAACAGCCUGUAUCCAGGUGAUAUCCAGGAUGUCUGCUCAGGAGGAACCCAGACACCGAGGAAAGCCCAAUCUGGUGCUGGGGAAUAACUUGGCAGGCACAGGAACAUACAGGGAGAGAAAACGCUGCAGACAAAAGUGCCCAACUAAAGGGAAAAGCCACUGAAGGAAUAGGAACCAGAAUUAGAUGAUGAUGAUGAUGAUGACGACAAUGACAAUGACAAAGAAGACAGUGAUGAGAAAAACUGAAUCACAGAGCAGUUAAGGGAACUGGUUAUGUUCAUAUAGCAGGUAAGGGAUAGAACUUAAAUUUGAAUCUUAGAAAUCUGGCUCCAAAGAUUUGGCUUUUAACCCAAAAACAAUAAGGCAUACACAAUUCCCAGUUCACACAAAAGCAGAAGGGCAGCCUACUUCGCCUCUGUUAGAGCAUAUCCAGAAACCUGCCUCAUGUCUACCACUCAGAGCUUGGCCUUGAUAACCACUAUUUCUCACUCCAAACCAAGUUUUCUAACUGCUCAAAGCAACCAGCCCUGUUUGUGAUUAUGUGGGUAAAUAAAUCCCUGUGAACUCACCCUUUCUCUUCUCUC
rnacentral:lncRNA from 13 species